rnacentral:rRNA from 1 species
ACCUGCGGAAGGAUCAUUAACGAAUAUAAUUCAGAGGGGCUGUAGCUGGCCUUGGAAACGAGGCAUGUGCACGCUCUUCUGUUUUUCACAACUCACCUGUGCACCUAAUGUAGGAUGCCUCUCUUUCGGGAGGGGGGACCUAUGUCUUCAUACGCCUCUUCGUGUAGAAAGUCUUAGAAUGUUUACUAUCAGAGAGUCGCGACUUCUAGGAGACGCGAAUCUCUGAGAUAAAAGUUAAUUACAACUUUCAGCAAUGGAUCUCUUGGCUCUCGCAUCGAUGAAGAACGCAGCGAAAAGCGAUAUGUAAUGUGAAUUGCAGAUCUACAGUGAAUCAUCGAAUCUUUGAACGCACCUUGCGCUCCUCGGUGUUCCGAGGAGCAUGCCUGUUUGAGUGUCAGUAAAUUCUCAACCCCUCUCGAUUUGUUUCGAGGGGGAGCUUGGAUAGUGGGGGCUGCCGGAGACUAGGAUUCGUCCUUGACUCGGGCUCUCCUUAAAUGCAUCGGCUUGCGGUCGACUUUCGACUUUGCGCGACAAGGCUUUCGGCGUGAUAAUGAUCGCCGUUCGCUGAAGCGCACGAAUGAAACGUUCCGUGCCUCUAAUACGUCGACUUUUAUGUCUUCCUCAUUGACUUUUGACCUCAAAUCAGGUAGGACUACCCGCUGAACUUAAGCAUAUCAAUAAGCGGAGGAAAGAAACUAACAAGGAUUCCCUAGUAACUGCGAGUGAAGAGGGAAAGCUCAAUUUUGAUCUGGCGGUCUUUUGGUCGUCGAGUUGUAUCUAGAGAAGCGUCUUCCGCGC